AACGCCGCGUGAGUGAAGAAGGUUUUCGGAUCGUAAAACUCUGUUGUUAGAGAAGAACAAGGACGUUAGUAACUGAACGUCCCCUGACGGUAUCUAACCAGAAAGCCACGGCUAACUACGUGCCAGCAGCCGCGGUAAUACGUAGGUGGCAAGCGUUGUCCGGAUUUAUUGGGCGUAAAGCGAGCGCAGGCGGUUUCUUAAGUCUGAUGUGAAAGCCCCCGGCUCAACCGGGGAGGGUCAUUGGAAACUGGGAGACUUGAGUGCAGAAGAGGAGAGUGGAAUUCCAUGU
rnacentral:rRNA from 1 species